GGCAUAAAAAGUCCUAAAAAAGUCAUAGUAUAGCAUGGCAUAAAAACGUCAUAGUAUAGUAAGGCAUAAAAAAGUCAUAAAAAGUCAUAGUAUAGGAAGGCAUAAAAAGUCAUAGUAUAGCAUGGCAUAAAAAGUCAUAAAAAAGUCAUAGUAUAGCAUGGCAAAAAAAGUCAUAAAAAAGUCAUAGUAUAGCAAGGCAUAAAAAGUCAUAGUAUAGCAAGGCAUAAAAAGUCAUAAAAAAGUCAUAGUAUAGCAUGGCAAAAAAAGUCAUAAAAAAGUCAUAGUAUAGCAAGGCAUAAAAAGUCAUAGUAUAGCAAGGCAAAAAAAGUCAUAGUAUAGCAUGGCAUAAAAAGUCAUAGUAUAGUAAGGCAUAAAAAGUCAUAGUAUAGUAAGGCAUAAAAAAGUCAUAGUAUAGCAUGGCAUAAAAAGUCAUAGUAUAGUAAGGCAAAAAAAGUCAUAAAAAAGUCAUAGUAUAGUAAGGCAAAAAAAGUCAUAGUAUAGCAUGGCAUAAAAAGUCAUAGUAUAGCAAGGCAUAAAAAAGUCAUAUAAUAGUAAGGCAAAAAAAGUCAUAAAAAAGUCAUAGUAUAGCAUGGCAUAAAAAGUCAUAAAAAAGUCAUAGUAUAGCAAGGCAUAAAAAAGUCAUAGUAUAGCAUGGCAUAAAAAAGUCAUAUUAUAGUAAGGCAUAAAAAGUCAUAAAAAAGUCAUAAAAAAGUCAUAGUAUAGCAUGGCAUAAAAAGUCAUAAAAAAGUCAUAGUAUAGCAUGGCAAAAAAAGUCAUAGUAUAGCAUGGAAUAAAAACGUCAUAGUAUAGUAAGGCAUAAAAAAGUCAUAAAAAAGUCAUAGUAUAGCAAGGCAUAAAAAGUCAUAGUAUAGCAAGGCAAAAAAAGUCAUAGUAUAGCAUGGCAUAAAAAGUCAUAGUAUAGUAAGGCAUAAAAAAGUCAUAGUAUAGUAAGGCAAAAAAAGUCAUAAAAAAGUCAUAGUAUAGUAAGGCAAAAAAAGUCAUAGUAUAGCAUGGCAUAAAAAGUCAUAGUAUAGCAAGGCAUAAAAAAGUCAUAUAAUAGUAAGGCAAAAAAAGUCAUAAAAAAGUCAUAGUAUAGCAAGGCAAAAAAAGUCAUAGUAUAGCAUGGCAUAAAAAAGUCAUAGUAUAGUAAGGCAAAAAAAAGUCAUAGUAUAAUAAGGCAUAAAAAGUCAUAAAAAAGUCAUAGUAUAGGAAGGCAUAAAAAGUCAUAGUAUAGCAUGGCAAAAAAAGUCCUAAAAAAGUCAUAGUAUAGCAUGGCAUAAAAAGUCAUAAAAAAGUCAUAGUAUAGCAUGGCAUAAAAACGUCAUAGUAUAGCAUGGCAUAAAAAAGUCAUAUUAUAGUAAGGCAUAAAAAGUCAUAAAAAAGUCAUAGUAUAGCAUGGCAAAAAAAGUCAUAAAAAAGUCAUAGUAUAGCAUGGCAUAAAAAGUCAUAAAAAAGUCAUAGUAUAGCAUGGCAAAAAAAGUCAUAGUAUAGCAUGGCAUAAAAACUCAUAGUAUAGUAAGGCAUAAAAAGUCAUAGUAUAGCAUGGCAUAAAAAGUCA